AUUGAACGCUGGCGGCAUGCCUAACACAUGCAAGUCGAACGGAGGUAGGGGCAACUCUACUUCAGUGGCGGACGGGUGAGGAAUGCGUCGGAAUCUACCCUAUGGUGGGGGAUAACACAGGGAAACUUGUGCUAAUACCGCAUAAUGUCGAGAGACCAAAGCAGGGGACCGCAAGGCCUUGCGCGAUAGGAUGAGCCGACGCCCGAUUAGCUUGUUGGUAGGGUAAUGGCCUACCAAGGCGACGAUCGGUAGCUGGUCUGAGAGGAUGAUCAGCCACACUGGGACUGAGACACGGCCCAGACUCCUACGGGAGGUAGCAGUGGGGAAUAUUGGACAAUGGGCGCAAGCCUGAUCCAGCAAUGCCGCGUGUGUGAAGAAGGCCUGCGGGUUGUAAAGCACUUUUGUUCGGGAAGAAAUCAUGCUGGUUAAUACCUGGUAUGGAUGACGGUACCGAAAGAAUAAGCACCGGCUAACUUCGUGCCAGCAGCCGCGGUAAUC
rnacentral:rRNA from 1 species